rnacentral:lncRNA from 1 species
CGCCGCACCGUCGCAGUACCCCAACCCUAAUUUGCCAACUCCCUACUACCACCACCAUCCUGGGGGAUCAUAUUACCAUACCUCUCGCCUUGCAGCUCCCCAGAAUUACCCGCCCUACCCUUACGCUGCUCCUCCUCCUCCACAGCCGCCCGCUGUACCCUACGUCGACCACCAGAAGGCUGUCACGAUUAAGAACGACGUCAAUGUGAAGAAGGAGACGAUUAGGAUCGUUGAAGAUG